CCCGCCUGCGACCCUGAAAUGGAUAUGUGGAAAGCAUGGAUGGCUGGCUCUUGCAAAACAAAUUGAAAUGAUGUGGUUCUGUUGAUUCAUCGAGCCUUGACCUCCAGCUCGCACUAGGGCAGUUUGCAGCGGAGUCUGAAGGAGCUGGGACGGGAAUUAGCACCUUCAAGUAUGAAUCCAUAGUUCUCAGCUAGAAAAAAAGGGUACCAAAUGAGUCCACUGAAGCCUCCAUAAUGGCCAGAAGAAGAAUCCCACUGUUUGAUGGUUCAGUAUGAAGCAUGAGAGCUCACGGUGGGAUUCACCUCAGCUGUACACCUCAUGAAACGCCCAGGAGAGGCAAUCCAAUCAUUCUGGAGCUGCAGGACCCGGCUAUCCGGCAGACGCUCGGGGUCCUUGAAGUGCAGAAAGGCCUUCCCAUCGCUGUGCUCCCCUGCCUCCCAGCAGGUCUGCAAAGUGAAUUUACUGCCACUGUCAAAACUUCUGUCAGUUCUCAAAGGGAGAGAGGAGACGGAGACAGAGAGGGAGCGCGAGAGAGCAAUAUGGGACUUUUUUUUCCCUCCCCUUCCACAGAUGCCCGGACAUGCAGUCUUCAACCCAGAGGGCCUUUGAAAUCAUCUCGCUCGUUAAUAGUUGUCUCAUGGAAGCACGGAGAGAAGGGAAGCUUGACAGAGUUUGAAUGGAGACACCAAAGCUCAGUUUUGUCAAGUACUGAAAUCCUCAUUUUCACCUCACUGUUUCGUAAAAAACUGCUGCAAUUCCCUGCCAAUGUUUUUCUCUCUUCUUUUUUUUUUCUUUGCACAUUCAAGUAAAGUUAUGAGUGGGUUGCUGAGCAUGACUUCAGUGGCUGAUGAGAAAUGCAGUCUAUUCCACUGGAAAUUAAAUAAUACAAAUUUGACUUGUGGUGUGGUGUAAAGAAAGCAUAGAUUUAUUAGGCUUCAGAGGUUAUU